UGGGGAAUAUUGGACAAUGGGCGAAAGCCUGAUCCAGCCAUGCCGCGUGUGUGAAGAAGGCCUUUUGGUUGUAAAGCACUUUAAGCGAGGAGGAGGCUACUUAGAUUAAUACUCUAGGAUAGUGGACGUUACUCGCAGAAUAAGCACCGGCUAACUCUGUGCCAGCAGCCGCGGUAAUACAGAGGGUGCGAGCGUUAAUCGGAUUUACUGGGCGUAAAGCGUGCGUAGGCGGCAUCUUAAGUCGGAUGUGAAAUCCCUGAGCUUAACUUAGGAAUUGCAUUCGAUACUGGGAAGCUAGAGUAUGGGAGAGGAUGGUAGAAUUCCAGGUGUAGCGGUGAAAUACGUAGUGAUCUGGAGGAAUACCGAUGGCGAAGGCAGCCAUCUGGCCUAAUACUGACGCUGUGGUACGAAAGCAUGGGGAGCAAACAGG
rnacentral:rRNA from 1 species